UGCAACUUUGUGAAGCCUGGAAACAUUUUC
rnacentral:piRNA from 1 species